UACGUAGGGGGCUAGCGUUGUCCGGAAUCAUUGGGCGUAAAGAGCGUGUAGGCGGCUCGGUAAGUCCGCUGUGAAAGUCCAGGGCUCAACCCUGGAAUGCCAGUGGAAACUGUCGAGCUAGAGUCCGGAAGAGGCGAGUGGAAUUCCUGGUGUAGCGGUGAAAUGCGCAGAUAUCAGGAGGAAUACCUAUGGCGAAAGCAGGUAUCUGGGCCAUCACUGACGCUGAGAAGCGAAAGCAUGGGGAGCGAACAGG
rnacentral:rRNA from 1 species